UUCUCACUUGUGGAGAAAAAAGAAAAAAAAAAUAAUAAAAAUGGCCUGAAUAUUCUCUUGGGGAAAGAGAGCGCUACAGGAAAGGGCGAGUGCGUCCCAGGGCCAAAGAGAGGGGUGAGGCCUGCCAGCCCGGCCCAGUGCUGGGCGCUGGGCGCUGGGCCACCGGGAGCCAGGCUUGCCCAUUGGAAGGGCUCCCGUGGCCGUUGUGGGAGGCUACUUUGGAAGGCAACCCCUGUGUCAUCUCCAUUUGUCCACUUGGCACCCAAUCUCCUUGAAUUCCUUAUUUUUCCUCCUGCUGGAUGCUGAAGGGCUGAUGGGGCGGGUGCUGUGGCAUCCACCACUCCUUGGUCUCUUUAGUGGCUGUGGUGGUGUUAGGUUCACAUCAUAGACCCAUGAUAGAAAGAGACAUAUAUAGCUCUGUGAAUCUCUGGUAUGGCUCGGCUUGCCCGGGGGUCAGGGAAGGCUUUGCUGAGAGCUGAGCUAUGGAGAGUAAAGCCUACCUUGGCAAAGGCUGAGGGUGAGGAGGAGGUACAAUGACUGGCUCUGCCCAUACCCUGGUGGGAUGGGGAGUGGAGGGUAGAGAGUGUUGACAGGGGAGACUGGGGGCAGAGUGAGGACAUUGCCUGCUUAGUAUGAGGCUGGGGCUGGGGAGGCUGGGCCAGAUCCUUCAAGGCCCUCCCUACCAGGUUGAGCAGCUUGGCGGAUACACUAUCAUGCAUUUGACUUUGGACAUGUUGAGUUUGAGGAAAAGCUGAGAACAUCAGUUCUUCUCAUGAGUAAGCAGAUGGAGAUGCAGGUUUGGAGUUCAUAAGAGUCUAGGCUGAAGGUGCUCUGUGCAUUGGCAGUAACAGAAGCCUCAGUCAUAAACAAGAAAUCUAGGAGGUCGCUUUUUUUCUUGGGCAAUCCAGAGGUGCCAUUGCUUUUAAAUGUGUAAAAUAAUAGUAGAAAUAGAUUGCAUUGAAAUAUAUGUAUAUAUUGAAAUAUGACAUAUAUAUGAAAUAUGUGUUGUAAAAUUUUUAUUUAUUUGAAAGUCAGAGUUACAGAGAGGUAGAGGUAGAAGCUGAGAGAGAGAGAGAGAGAGAGAGAGAGAUAUCUUCCA
rnacentral:lncRNA from 1 species